rnacentral:lncRNA from 1 species
GACAGGAGUGGGCAUGUAGAGAAGCAAUCCCCUCCACACUCACAUUCCUUUAAAAAAAAAACUUGUACUGCUUGGAGAAAUGAGAGAUUUUUUUGUUUUUGUUUUUUUCUAGUGGCUAGGGUUUCAUAUCAGAAAGAUAAGCCUGGAAUGUAAAGAUGCAAAAAAAAGGAAAAGAAAAAAGGACUCUCUUGAACAGUGCUGGAAACUGGUAGCCUGAGGUGAGGAGUGACUUCAAAAAAAAGCAGCAGAUUCUUUAACUGAAGGACUUCCCGGUCUCCAUGGAACCUGGAAAGAGGAGGCCUGAAUGCAAGAAUUUUCUGGUAGUUGUCUUCUAGCACUCUUCACUCACUCCUGCUGGUCUCUACUCUUCUUCAAGCACCUCAAGCUCAUUGCCACGUUCAGGCCUUUCCACUUGCUCUGGGCUCAGCCUGGCCUUGCAGGAAAGCCUAUGAAAUGUUUCCAUCUCUGGGAUCAGGACGUUGACAGGAUUUGACGAUCAGGUGCAGAGAAGGUAGUAACUUGCCCAAGGUCACACUGCUCCUAAGAAACUGUGUCAAGAUUUAAGGCUAUACUUUAUGCAGUGAAAGAAGGCUACCUCAUCCUCUGAAAUCUAAGGAAGAAGAAAUGAUGACUGAAAAUGGAAGAAGUGGGAGUAGAUAAGGGGAGGAAGGCUGCUGUAACAAAAACAUAUACAACUCUAGGGGCUUAAGUAAAUAAAAGUUUAUUUAUCUCCCA